GGAAUCUUCCACAAUGGACGCAAGUCUGAUGGAGCAACGCCACGUGAGUGAAGAAGGUUUUCGGAUCGUAAAGCUCUGUUGUUGGUGAAGAAGGAUAGAGGUAGUAACUGGCCUUUAUUUGACGGUAAUCAACCAGAAAGUCACGGCUAACUACGUGCCAA
rnacentral:rRNA from 1 species